rnacentral:lncRNA from 1 species
CCAGUGUGCAGUGGUAUGGCCAAACCAGAGGGGCCCUCUGCCCCAGCUGACCAGACGCCCUGGCUUCCGGCAACCAGCCACUAAAGGGUUAACACCCUCCUAAUAGGGACCGCCUCCCCUCCUCCCAUCCCCCCACCCUGCCGCUCUACUGGUCGCUCUACUGGUCGUUAGAGAAUUUGGCCAUCACCUCUUCAUUCACUCCAUCAUUCAAAAACAUCUAUUGCAAACCUACAGUGAGCCAGGUCCCAUGCUAGGUGCUGCCCUCAAUGUGUUCCCAAGCCUGUAGGGGAGAGACUUCCAAAUAUGGAUUAACACAGCGUGACAGGUGUCACAAUAGAGGCCUGCAGACUCUCCUGGGGGUCUCCAUGGUGGUGGGAAAGGUCUGCCUGGGGAGGAGUCUCAGAGGAGGAAUGCAAACUGGGUCUUGAAGGGAUUCAGCACAGGGAUCACCUCCUCCAGGAAGCCCUCCCUCAGGGCUCUGAGCACACAGCAGUGAACUCUGGGGUUCAGCUCCUUCCCUCUCGAGACUGCAGAUCCUUUGAGAGGGGACGUCUGUCAACAAACUCUAGGGAUCCCUCGCUGUUCCAGGCACUGUGCUAGGCUCUGAGGAUGGAGCAGUGAACAAGACCCACCCACAUCUUACGGUCCUGACAGGCUCGGUGGAGAGGCAAAGGGGCUGCUCACGCCUCCAGUGAAGACGGGCACGCUGCAUCUCUGAGCGCCAGGCUCCUCCUCUCCUUCUGUGGCCCUGAGCAGCAGCUGCAAUUAAGGAGAUCCUGGGCACUGACUUCUGGGAAAGGGAGGAUGUUCUCCCAGACAGAUCAGGAUGCUGGAAUUGUCUGCCUCUUCUUUGCUCCUGCCCCUCCUUGUUUUCCAUUGCACAGGACACACCUGCCGCCUGGACCGUUUAGGUACAUGGUGUGUUUACUACCGUUCCUGAGAUCAGGCGAGUUUCGGAUUUGUUUUUAAGAUGCUACAAGAGAGCUUAAAGGUCACCUUGUCCAACUGACCUGGCCUGCUCGAGCUUCAAGCUUCUCUCUGAUUGCCGCCCAGCUUCAGAGGAUACCUUAGGUGGCAAGAAGCACUAUCUCUCAGCAUGGUCCAAUUAUUCACUGGCCACUUCGGAAUGUUUAUUGAUUCAUUCAAUCAAAUGGUAUGUAUUGAAUGCUACAUUCUGAGCACUUACUAGUCACUAGGAAAUAAAUCAGUGAACAAAACAGACGAAAAUCUCUGCUCUUGUGACUCUUCCCUUCUAAUGGCAGGAGGUGGGGAGGACAAAUGUUAAACAAAAUAGGUAAAGAAUAGAA